GAAGUUGACCAGACAAUCGCUCUUUUUUAGAAUAUUAAAAAAAUAAAAAGAGAGGAAAGUCCGGGCUCUAUAGGACAAAAGAGCCAGAUAACAUCUGGGAGAUGUCAAUCUACGAAAAGUGCCACAGAAAAUAACCACCAAAAUAUUAAAUAUUUUUGUUUAUUUUAAAUAUUAUUUAAUAAACGGAAAGGGUGAAAAGGUGCGGUAAAAGCGCACCGUAUAAAUUGGUAACAGUUUAUAGCUUCGGUAAACUCCUCUUUGAGCAAGGCCAAAUAUAGGUAAAUACAGUAUUUGUCCGUACUUAAACCUGGGUAGGCUGCUAGAACUAAAUAGUGAUAUUUAGUCAAGAUAAAUGAUUGUCUAAAACAGAACCCGGCUUAUCGGUCAACUUCAAAA
rnacentral:RNase_P_RNA from 1 species